UUAUAUAGGAAGAUAAGUGCAGUGCUUUCAGUUCACAAGGCAUGGCAUAAAUAGUUCUAAAGGAAAACUUUGUCUUGAGAAACAAUAGACUGGGUUAUAUUCAGGUGUGAUGUGCUAAAAGUGCAUCAGUAUAGCAUUUCCAAGUUCUAAGUUCUAACUAGAAAUCCCCGGCCUAAUCUAUGGACGCCUGUCGCAAUAUUACAAUGUGUGCAUGAACCACCAUCAGAUUGUACUACUGUUAUUUUCCGAACACAUCGGGUUGCGCCAUAGUUAUAAAGUUAUCGACCAGAUGAAGACUAGUUGCAUUUAUCCCUAAAAAAGGAAUGUUGCAUUUAGCUUCCCAGUCAUUGGGGGCUGACAACUAGAGCAUACAGCUCGGCCAAAAUGGGAAGUCAAGCGGCCUAAAUUUCAAGUUCACAAACUAGACAAGACUCUUUCCACAAUAUAAGGUGGGCAGUUUUCGCAACUUGGCACCACCGUGGAGUGGGAGACGGCAAUGAGAGAAGCACAUGUGAAAGCUAGAAGCACGAGACAGCAGUUGAGAGUUGAGGCGAAACAUUCUCCCUGACUUCCUUGCCGUUGCUGAUUCACUUGGUUGUCGGCCUGCUUUGCCGGCCCAGCAAGCCCACUUGGUCACCUCGGAAGGUGGGGCUAUUACGUUUUCGCUCCGCUCCUUAUAAAGCCGACGCGCACAAAGAGAUAUUAGGUUUUCACUUCCCUCCUCAUUGAGCCGCCGCACACAAUUCAUCCCUUCCCGUAGAACUUCUUAGUGGAGAACCGCAGACCAUCGCCACCAGCGGCCUAACCCAGCAGCGGCACCCUAGGGAAGAACUCGCUACCUCUUACGGUAAGGCACCCUUGUCGCCAGCCUAAGAAGCAGAUCUAGGCGGGGAUGGCGAUGGCUGACUCCACCUCCCGGUUAGUCUCUCGUCUCCUCUAUCUUACUACUCUAGAUCUCAAUCUAGUUGUUCACUUUUUUUUUUGCUACUCUUCCUCUACCUUCAUCUCAUCGACUCAAUUUUGUUGCUUUGUUCUAGGUCAAGGUAUCGGUUAUUAUUUCCUCUAAUCCACUUGGUCUUAUUGAUUUGAUCUAGAUCAAGGUAUAUGUUCUACUACUCUAGAUCUCAAUCUAGUUGUUCUCUUUGUUUUGCUACUCCUUCCUCCAAUCGACUGUAUCUUGUUGCUUUGUUCUAGAUCGGAAGAAUUCGCUAUCUGCAAAGCCCCUCUGUCACCCACCCAGGAAGCAGAUCUAGGUGGGGAUGGUGAUGGUGUGUUGUGAUGACUGACUCCACCUCCCGGUUAGUCUCCCGUCUCCUCUAUUUUACUACUCUAGAUCUCAAUCUUGUUGUUCUCUUUUUUUUUUUUUUGCUACUGCUUCCCUACCUUCCUCUAAUCGACUCAUUCGUGUUGUUUGUUCUAGAUCAAAGGUAUCGGCUCUUCUUCCUCUAAUCGAUUCGGUCUUGUUGCUUUGUUCCAGAUCAAGGUAUCUAUUUUACUACUCUAGAUCUCGAUCUAGCUGUUACCUUUUAUUUGCUACUACUCACUCUACCUUCGUCUAAUUGACUUGGUCUUGUUGCUUUGUUCUAGAUCAAGGUAUUGGCUAUGCUUCCUCUAAUUGACUCAGUCUUGUUGCUUUGUUCUAGAUCAGGGUAUUUACAACUAAUCUCGAUCUAGUUGUUCUCUUUGUUUUGCUAAUCCUUCCUCUACCUUCCUCUAAUCAAUUUGGUCUUACUACUUUGUUCUAGAUCGGAAGAACUCGCUACCGGCAAAGCACCUUUGUGGCACACCCAAGAAGCAGAUCUAGGUGGGGAUGGCUAUGGCGUGCUGCGAUGGUUGGAUCCAGCUCCCAGUUAGUUUCCCGUCUUCUCUAUUUUACUAUUCUAGAGUAGAUCUCAACCUAGUUGUUCUCUCUUUUUUGGCUACUCCUUACUCUAAUCGACUCAGUCUUGUUGCUUUGUUACAGAUCAAGGUAUCUGCUAUUCUUCCUCUAAUCGACUCGGGUCUUAUUCCAUUGUUCUAGAUCAAGGUAUCUAUUGUACUAAUCUAGAUCUCGAUCUAGUUGUUACCUUCUAUUUGCUACUCCUUCAUCUACCUUCCUCUAAUCGACUUGGUCUUGUUGCUUUGUUCUAGAUCAAGGUAUCGGCUAUUCUUCCUCUAAUUGACGCGGUCUCAUUGCUAUGUUCUAGAUAAAGAUCAGAAGAACUCGCUACCGGUAAAGCACCUUCGUGGCCCACCCAAGAAGCAGAUCUAGGCGGGGAUGGCGAUGGCGUGCUGUGGUAGCUCAUAGCUGAAUGUACCUCCCAAUAGUUCAAGUCAUCAUUGAUCACUCGCUCUCGUAGCAAAGGAGUUGGAGUGGCUGGUGCCAUGGAUGGAGUCUGGUGCAAUCGCCUAGACAGGUAUGCCUUUUCCACUCUUUUUCUUGCUUGCAUCUUCUUUCUUUCUUCAUUGUGAGGUUAUUGCCAGACUAGCGCCUAAACGGUAGAUGGAAGUAUAUUUCCGACAUAAACGGUCUCGAGAUUACGUGAUAAGUUCCGAUGGCAUGAAAAAACUGUUUUUAAGGCAAUUAUGGUUGCUAAUAAUAAGUCAACGACCAGCCCCAAGCUUGCGCGCGCGGGGAGAGGGCGGGUGGCGGAGGAGUUGUUC